rnacentral:misc_RNA from 1 species
AGGGAUCGCAGCCUCGUUGCACUCGACAGCUCCUACACCAUUCUCUGUAGGAGCUGUCGAGUGCAACGAGGCUGCGAUCUUU